rnacentral:rRNA from 1 species
AGUGAACGCUGGCGGCGUGCUUAACACAUGCAAGUCGAACGAGAACGGAUUAUAGCUUGCUAUAAUUGUCAGCUAAGUGGCGCACGGGCGAGUAAUGUAUAGGUAAUAUGCCUCUUACUAAGGGAUAACAAAUGGAAACGUUUGCUAAUACCUUAUACUCCUUAUUAACAGAAGUUAAUAAGGGAAAGAUUUAUUGGUAAGAGAUUAGCCUGUAUUGUAUCAGUUAGUUGGUGGGGUAAUGGCCUACCAAGACUAUGACACAUAACUGGUUUGAGAGGAUGAUCAGUCACACUGGAACUGAGACACGGUCCAGACUCCUACGGGAGGCAGCAGUGGGGAAUAUUGCACAAUGGACGAAAGUCUGAUGCAGCAACGCCGCGUGGAGGAUGACACAUUUCGGUGCGUAAACUCCUUUUAUGUGAGAAGAUAAUGACGGUAUUAUAUGAAUAAGCACCGGCUAACUCCGUGCCAGCCGCCGCGGUAA